UGAUUCUUUUUAUAACACGCUGAUCAA
rnacentral:sRNA from 1 species